CCUGGGCAGCCUGAUCUAGGUGUCCCUUCUUGAGCAGGGGCAUUGGACUAGAUAAUCUGUAGAGGUUCCUUCCAACCUCAACCAUUCUGUGAUUCUGUGA